rnacentral:misc_RNA from 1 species
GAUGAAGAACGCAGCGAAAUGCGAUAAGUAAUGUGAAUUGCAGAAUUCAGUGAAUCAUCGAAUCUUUGAACGCACAUUGCGCCCGCUAGUAUUCUGGCGGGCAUGCCUGUCCGAGCGUCAUUUCAACCCUCAAGCCCCCGGGCUUGGUGUUGGGGAUCGGCGAGCCUCCGCGCCCGCCGUCCCCUAAAUCUAGUGGCGGUCUCGCUGUAGCUUCCUCUGCGUAGUAGCACACCUCGCACUGGGAAACAGCGCGGCCACGCCGUUAAACCACCAACUUCUGAACGUUUGACCUCGGAUCAGGUAGGAAUACCCGCUGAACUUAAGCAUAUCAAUAAGCGGAGGA